CAGUAGCCGCGGGAAUACAGAGGGUGCGAGCGUUAAUCGGAUUUACUGGGCGUAAAGCGUGCGUAGGCGGCUUCUUAAGUCGGAUGUGAAAUCCCUGAGCUUAACUUAGGAAUUGCAUUCGAUACUGGGAAGCUAGAGUAUGGGAGAGGAUGGUAGAAUUCCAGGUGUAGCGGUGAAAUGCGUAGAGAUCUGGAGGAAUACCGAUGGCGAAGGCAGCCAUCUGGCCUAAUACUGACGCUGAGGUACGAAAGCAUGGGGAGCAAACAGGAUUAGAUACCCCGGUAGUCCCUGUCUCUUAUAA
rnacentral:rRNA from 1 species